rnacentral:rRNA from 1 species
CUACGGGCCGCUGCAGUGAGGAAUAUUGCACAAUGGAGGAAACUCUGAUGCAGCAACGCCGCGUGGAGGAUGACGCAUUUCGGUGUGUAAACUCCUUUUAUAUGUCAAGAAAAUGACGGUAGCAUAUGAAUAAGCUCCGGCUAACUCCGUGCCAGCAGCCGCGGUAAUACGGAGGGAGCAAGCGUUACUCGGAAUCACUGGGCGUAAAGGACGCGUAGGCGGGAUAGAAAGUCAGGUGUGAAAUCCUAUGGCUCAACCAUAGAACUGCACUUGAAACUUCUAACCUAGAGUAUGGGAGGGGAAGAUGGAAUUAGUGGUGUAGGGGUAAAAUCCGUAGAUAUCACUAGGAAUACCAAAAGCGAAGGCGAUCUCCUGGAACAUUACUGACGCUAAGGCGUGAAAGCGUGGGGAGCAAACAGGAUUAGAUACCCUUGUAGUC